rnacentral:lncRNA from 1 species
AGUGGGAGCAUCAUUAUGCCGUGGUUUGAGAAGAGGAGGUACCCAAGCUGGGUGAUGGAGAAGGCACAGCAUGACAAGAGGCAGAGGAAGGAGAAGAGAGAGUAUUUUGAGGCCACGAGGCCAGUGAUGAGCUGUGUGUGGUGCCCUUGGUGAAUUUGUUCCCAGAAGUGGAGAGUAGUGGGAGGUGCAGCUGGGAGGGUGGGUUGGAACCAGAUGGCAGGGUGUGGAGGGUGAGUCCACCAAGAAGUGUGGGCUUGUGAAGGCAGUGGGGAACCACUGAAGGUUCUGUGUUGGGAGUGACACGAUCAAAGCCGGCCUGUGUUUAAUGUUCUUCCCAGGCAGGCAUGACCCUCAAACUAUAAUAGCAGCACCUCGUACCUGAGGCUUUGAUCUUGACCAUUACCGCUGUUUACCUUUUGGGGAGUACCUUGGAUAUUUACAAAGUGCCAUGUAAUCAGUUUCAUUAGUUAAGAGAUAAGAUUAAUUAGAUUUUUGAGGAAAGCAACUGGACUUGGCUUUGAAAAACUCAGGCUGCAAAGGAAGCAGUGUUAGAGCCUCAGCGGGUGGUUCUCUCUGAGGCUGAUUCCUGCAUUAUCUGGGCCCCUUGCUUCCUGGCUUCCACUGGAUUUUGGUUGAUGGGAGGAACCAACCGGCCACUGAAGGGCAAGAGCAGAGAGGUGUGGUGCUGUUUCCUGCCUGCUCCCUUCCUACGUGCCUCCUUUCUAACGGUACCAAAACUUGGAUCUUCCGACUGUAUAAUAUUAGCUUGAUUCAGAAGUUUUCAUCAGUGAAGACCCUGCAGACACCAGAAAUGCAGAAGAGGCAAGAGAACACACAAAGUAUGCAAUCUAGAAGGUUCAGACAUAGGUCAGAGAGUGGGCCAUUUUUCAUGGUCAAAGGGGAGAAGAGGUUGGGAAUAGAGAGAUCUCUCAACCCAGAAAGUAGGG